AGCAGCGUAACUUAAUGGUAAAGUCCCAAGCUCAUAACUUGGUUUAUGCGGGUUCAAAUCCCGCCGUUGCGACCA
rnacentral:tRNA from 1 species